rnacentral:lncRNA from 1 species
UAAAUUACCAUUUUCUUUCCUCCUACUCCUCACGGGUCCUUCAAAGAAAUUAUCAAGUUUGUUUCAAGUUCCAAAUCAAGAAUCAAGGUGUGUAAAUUUUGUUUAUUUCCUCCAUUUAAUUUUUCGAGGAUUACAUUCUAACACCUAGCAUCAUUUAUGCAGAAGCCACAAAUCCUCAUCUGCCUCUUCAAGGUUAUUUCCAGCAUAAACAACUUCUUUUAGAUUAUUGUUGCUUCAAUUACAUCAUCUUAUCAAGCAUCAGAGGACCACCAACAAACAAACACACACUCAUAAUCAUUAUUUUCACCUAACUAUUACAAUUACAAGGAUUUCAAGAUCUGAUAAAAAGAAAUGAUGAAAGAACAGAAUUUCUAAACAAAAACCCUAACUUUACUAUAUGUGAAUCUGGACUGAAAUUGGGCCUUCUUGUGUCUUUAUUGUGUUGUGAUCGGGGGACGGAGGGAGGAGUGAGAGCAGCCGACGGCUGCUCAGGGCCGGCGACGGCGACGGCGACGGCUCGGCGGCAAGCCGCCGCCUUUUCUUUUUUCUGUCAGACAUUGGGAGGAGAGGAGAAAGAUUAAUUGAGUUUUAGAUUUAGAAAAGAGAGAAAAGGGGAAUAAGUAGGAAAGGGGAAAGGACUUAUCUUCUCCGGCAGAGACGGCGGCGACGCGGCGGAAGCAGCGGCACGAGCGGCGGCCCUUCGGGAUGCCGUUGCUCGACCGGCCGAGGGGGAGAAAGAAGAGCAGGCAGCGGUGCUGUUGAGGUCGUCGCGGCGGCACUGUGGUCGCCGGGGUGACUGCCCACCGCGAGCAGGAAGAGAGAGAGAGAUACCGAGAGGGGAUGGGCCGUGAGGAGGCGCGGCUGCCGUCGAUUCACCGGGACAGGAGCAGGACGACGGCGAUAUGCCGGACCUUCGCCGAUCUCGGGCGGCGGCGGCAGAAACGAGGAGAGGGAGAGAGAUGAGCUGUGUGUGUGUGCGUUUCUUGAAGUGAGAGGGAGAGACGUGAGAGAGGCGAGAGAGAUGAGUGUUGUGUGUGCUGAGUGUGUGUGUUUGUGUAUAUAUGUUAGUAUUAGAUUUUUUUUUUUAAUUUGGGCUUAAGCCCUAUAAUGAGGAUGGGCCGAAAAUUUUAAAAAAAAAAGAGUGGGCCGAUUUUAUUUUAUUUCUGUUGGGCCCAUUUUGCCUUUAAAUCUGAUGGGUUUUUAUUUAAUAGGUUUAGGCCCAAUUUUAAUUAAGUUUUGAGCUGUUAUUUAAAUAUAGGCCUACGAAUUUUGGCCUUAAUUCUAUAAAAAAAAAUGUUUGAUUUUUCACUAAAUUAUUUAGUGAAUUUAAAUCUCUUGAUUUAAAUUUUAAUAUUGGGAGUUGGAUUAUUUAUUCUAAAUGAAGUCCAUUCUAUUAUUUAAAUUAUUAAUGGACUUUAAAGCAAAUAUUUUGGGAUUAAGCCCCAUUUAUUACAUGAUAAAAUUAUUUUCAAAGCUUACGAGUAUGGAUUUUUUUUAAUGGUUAAAAUGUUUUAUUUCAUCUCAAUGGAUUUUAAAAUGUUUUAUUAUUUAUAAAUGAAUAAUGGAAUUUCUUAUUUAUUUACAUAAAAAAAAAUGAAAUGUAUAGAAUAUUAUAAAUAUGGUUUCUUUUAAAAGAAAAAGGAUUAAAUUAUUUUAUGAGUAAUUCCAUUAUAAUGGAAUUAAAAUGUCCUAUUAGAAUGGCUUCAUGUUUUAAAAAAAUAUUGAGACUAUUUAUGUGGAAUUGUGUUAUAGAAUGAUUAAGUAUAUGUAUUUACUUUAUCAAAUGAGCUUGGGAUUUAAUUGAGAUAUUAAAUUGCUAAGCAUAUGUUUAUAAAUGAUUUAUUUAUUUAAAGUGAUGAAAAUGUGNUUUGAAUCCGUUUGUAGAUUUAAAGGAUUAUUGAGUAGUCAAUAAUUAUUAUUUUCGGAUUAUAACUGACUUAGCAAAGUCAUGUUAUUUAAUUUAUAUACGAUAGAAAUAGUAUUUUCUAUUAUUUAAUUGAAGUCAUGAUUAAUUUUUCGACUUAUAAAACGAGUUAUAAAAUAUGUAAUUUGUAGAGAGUUAUAACGAAGCUUCGUUAUAUGGAAACCCGGAAUUAGUAUUACAAAUACGUUAUCAUAUACUUUUCAUUUCCACAUACAUCUAUCUCUUAAAUAAAUUGAUGGUAUUGGAAACACUCAUCAUAUGCAAAUUAUUCCACUAAUUCCACUAAUUCCACUAAACACUCUUUACACUCAUCAUUGCCGGCCAUCUUCUACACUCAUUCCACUAAUAAUCAUUAUUCCACUACCUCCCACUACUACACCCUUUUUCCCCACCAAUACACCUAACUCUCCACACACUUCAUUUUUUUUAUUUCUACACCACUAUAUUCCAUAUUCAGUACUACAUCUUGCAGAUUCCUCAUUAAGAAAUCCUCUCUCUCUAAUCUUCUAAAUUACCAUUUUCUUUCCUCCUACUCCUCACGGGUCCUUCAAAGAAAUUAUCAAGUUUGUUUCAAGUUCCAAAUCAAGAAUCAAGGUGUGUAAAUUUUGUUUAUUUCCUCCAUUUAAUUUUUCGAGGAUUACAUUCUAACACCUAGCAUCAUUUAUGCAGAAGCCACAAAUCCUCAUCUGCCUCUUCAAGGUUAUUUCCAGCAUAAACAACUUCUUUUAGAUUAUUAUUGCUUCAAUUACAUCAUCUUAUCAAGCAUCAGAGGACCACCAACAAACAAACACACACUCAUAAUCAUUAUUUUCACCUAACUAUUACAAUUACAAGGAUUUCAAGAUCUGAUA